rnacentral:rRNA from 1 species
CAGCAGCCGCGGUAAUACGUAGGUGGCAAGCGUUGUCCGGAAUUAUUGGGCGUAAAGCGCGCGCAGGUGGUUUAAUAAGUCUGAUGUGAAAGCCCACGGCUCAACCGUGGAGGGUCAUUGGAAACUGUUAAACUUGAGUGCAGGAGAGAAAAGUGGAAUUCCUAGUGUAGCGGUGAAAUGCGUAGAGAUUAGGAGGAACACCAGUGGCGAAGGCGGCUUUUUGGCCUGUAACUGACACUGAGGCGUGAAAGCGUGGGGAGCAAACAGGAUUAGAUACCCCUGUAGUCCCUGUCUCUUAUAC